CAUACAGGGGGAAGUUCCAACACAUUUCACAAGAGAGAAAAGUAAUGCAGAGAAAGAGGAAUUUCAGUCUUCUCUGCUGAUUACCCCUCCCAGAACUCUCCCUGCCCUCCCUCCAAGGGGGUUACCAAGGGCAGCUGGCUGCAAGGCUGCAGCUGUUCUUAAUUGUUGAUUUUAGCCUUGCAGUGGUCCCAGGUGGGAGAGGAUGCCAUAUCUGCCCCCUGGAAUGGACUUACAGGUGUUUGAGAAAUGUUUUCUUUCCUGUGGGUUACUUGACACUCUAACAGACGAGCUAUUAUGAUAUACUGGCUGAUGUCAGGAGACCUGGGUUUAAUAGUCCUUACUUUCUCCUUCCUCUUAUGUAUAGACUUGCUGAAAAAGAUCUGCUUUCUGUGGAUUUCCCCGUUUAUUCUCCUUUCUGUGAUCUCUGCAAAUGGGCAGGAUACGUCGACAGCAGAAGUGAACAUCAGAUACUCACCACUGGUUGAAUUCAAAUGGAAGCCACAGGGGAAGGGAGCUCCUGAUGCAGCCUGAAGACCGUAUGGGUCGGUUCCUGGGGCAGAGGGCAGGUGGAGAAGAGUGGAAAGCAGCACUGGGCAAGUAGAAGGUGAACACGUUCUUUUGAUCACAUCUCCUGAACAAGCAUGAGACUUUCCAGGUGACAUUUCUCUUCUUGGCCCAGAAUACAGAGUACGGUACUACUAACCAGAGCCCCUGGACUGAGGAAAGCGUUCUCCUGCACAGAGCCCAAGGAAACGGAGAGGGGCAACAGAGGAGGAACUGUACUUUGUGUCUU